rnacentral:lncRNA from 1 species
AAGAAAGAAAACAACGUUUCGGCCGUGGAGCCUUCUUCAGGUCACCUGAAGGCUCUUUCUUCUCCUUUCAGCAGGGAAUAAACCUAUUACUUGUUCCUUUGCAGCCAACGCAUGCUGACGCAGCUCCCCACCUACACUGCUGCUGCGUGCGGAAUCGGACCGGCCUCGCUUUCAGCACACACCCACUAAGUACCCGGAGACCCUUCAGGUCUGUUUAUCGGAAUGGGAGCCGGCGCCGACCCACGAGGGAACCGCGGACCGGACUCCCGGCGACCGGAUCCCCCCCGCGGGAGCGGGCGCACGGGGCUCAUUAGGGCCAUUCCUCUGUUGCCAUGGAGGCCUGUUAGGGCCCCGAGAUCAGCGGUGAUUAGCAUGUGAAAAGCACUGGCUGGCCUCCCCUGCCCACGGAGGGGCUGCAGGAGGGGCGUCUGUACAAAUUAGCAUGGAGGGGAUUGAGCUGGACAGAGCCUCCCAAGGGAGCCUUCAGCACAGAAUACUUCCAGUCUCCUGAGCCUAAUUGGUUUUUAACAGUAUUCAACAGACAGGGGGCGUGGCCAUGGCAUCCAGGCACCCAGUGGCCCUGCGGCUCCUAGCCGUGUUUUCUUCUGAGGUGCUGGUAUCCACUCAGACGAGCCACUGGAUCCAGCACCAGCACUCGGUGAAACAACGUCCCAAGGCGUUGAAUUCCGGGAGUCCGAAGACUUUUCCGUCUGUUUCUGGGACACAGUGUGCCAGUGUUUAUGAGGUCAUGUCCAUGCUGUUCAGUUGUAAUUCGCUGCUCAAGGAGGACAGAAAACUCUGGAGUCCUGUUCUCUGGACACACUGGGCGCUGUGGACAACGAGCUCCCAGUGA